rnacentral:rRNA from 1 species
GUGAGGAAUAUUGGUCAAUGGACGGAAGUCUGAACCAGCCAUGCCGCGUGCAGGAAUAAGGUCCUAUGGAUUGUAAACUGCUUUUAUUCGGGAAUAAACCUCUUUACGUGUAGGGAGCUGAAGGUACCGAAGGAAUAAGCACCGGCUAACUCCGUGCCAGCAGCCGCGGUAAUACGGAGGGUGCAAGCGUUAUCCGGAAUCAUUGGGUUUAAAGGGUCCGCAGGCGGGCUAUCAAGUCAGAGGUGAAAUCCCACAGCUUAACUGUGGAACUGCCUUUGAAACUGAUGGUCUUGAAUUAAGUGGGCGUUGGCGGAAUAUGACAUGUAGCGGUGAAAUGCAUAGAUAUGUCAUGGAACACCGAAAGCGAAGGCAGCUAACGAUACUUAUAUUGACGCACAUGGACGAAAGCGUGGGUAGCGAACAGGAUUAGAAACCCGUGUAGUCC